GACGAACGCUGGCGGCGUGCUUAACACAUGCAAGUCGAACGGAAAGGCCCUGCUUUUGUGGGGUGCUCGAGUGGCGAACGGGUGAGUAACACGUGAGUAACCUGCCCUUGACUUUGGGAUAACUUCAGGAAACUGGGGCUAAUACCGGAUAGGAGCUCCUGCUGCAUGGUGGGGGUUGGAAAGUUUCGGCGGUUGGGGAUGGACUCGCGGCUUAUCAGCUUGUUGGUGGGGUAGUGGCUUACCAAGGCUUUGACGGGUAGCCGGCCUGAGAGGGUGACCGGCCACAUUGGGACUGAGAUACGGCCCAGACUCCUACGGGAGGCAGCAGUGGGGAAUAUUGCACAAUGGGCGGAAGCCUGAUGCAGCAACGCCGCGUGCGGGAUGACGGCCUUCGGGUUGUAAACCGCUUUCGCCUGUGACGAAGCGUGAGUGACGGUAAUGGGUAAAGAAGCACCGGCUAACUACGUGCCAGCAGCCGCGGUGAUACGUAGGGUGCGAGCGUUGUCCGGAUUUAUUGGGCGUAAAGGGCUCGUAGGUGGUUGAUCGCGUCGGAAGUGUAAUCUUGGGGCUUAACCCUGAGCGUGCUUUCGAUACGGGUUGACUUGAGGAAGGUAGGGGAGAAUGGAAUUCCUGGUGGAGCGGUGGAAUGCGCAGAUAUCAGGAGGAACACCAGUGGCGAAGGCGGUUCUCUGGGCCUUUCCUGACGCUGAGGAGCGAAAGCGUGGGGAGCGAACAGGCUUAGAUACCCUGGUAGUCCACGCUGUAAACGGUGGGUACUAGGUGUGGGGUCCAUUCCACGGGUUCCGUGCCGUAGCUAACGCUUUAAGUACCCCGCCUGGGGAGUACGGCCGCAAGGCUAAAACUCAAAGGAAUUGACGGGGCCCCGCACAAGCGGCGGAGCAUGCGGAUUAAUUCGAUGCAACGCGUAGAACCUUACCUGGGUUUGACAUGGAUCGGGAGCGCUCAGAGAUGGGUGUGCCUCUUUUGGGGUCGGUUCACAGGUGGUGCAUGGCUGUCGUCAGCUCGUGUCGUGAGAUGUUGGGUUAAGUCCCGCAACGAGCGCAACCCUUGUUCACUGUUGCCAGCACGUUAUGGUGGGGACUCAGUGGAGACCGCCGGGGUCAACUCGGAGGAAGGUGGGGAUGACGUCAAGUCAUCGUGCCCCUUAUGUCCAGGGCUUCACGCAUGCUACAAUGGCUGGUACAGAGAGUGGCGAGCCUGUGAGGGUGAGCGAAUCUCGGAAAGCCGGUCUCAGUUCGGAUUGGGGUCUGCAACUCGACCUCAUGAAGUCGGAGUCGCUAGUAAUCGCAGAUCAGCAACGCUGCGGUGAAUACGUUCCCGGGGCU
rnacentral:rRNA from 1 species